rnacentral:rRNA from 1 species
GACGGGACCGCACAAGCGGUGGAUGAUGUGGUUUAAUUCGAUGCAACGACGAAAACCUUACCCACCUUUGACAUGUACGGAAUCCUUUAGAGAUAGAGGGGUGCUCGAAAGAGAGCCGUAACACAGGUGCUGCGUGGCUGUCGUCAGCUCGUGUCGUGAGAUGUUGGGUUAAGUCCCGCAACGAGCGCAACCCUUGUCAUUAGUUGCUACAUUUGGUUGGGCACUCUAAUGAGACUGCCGGUGACAAGCCGGAGGAAGGUGGGGAUGACGUCAAGUCCUCAUGGCCCUUAUAGGUGGGGCUACACACGUCAUACAAUGGCUGGUACAAAGGGUUGCCAACCCGCGAGGGGGAGCUAAUCCCACAAAGCCAGUCGUAGUCCGGAUCGUAGUCUGCAACUCGACUACGUGAAGUCGGAAUCGCUAGUAAUCGUGGAUCAGAAUGUCACGGUGAAUACGUUCCCGGGUCUU